rnacentral:lncRNA from 1 species
GUCUCUAAUUAGAAGAAUGGAAAUUUUAGAAGAACAGAGUAUCAUGGUGCCAUUCCAAUUGGGUUGCUUAACAUACCAUUUCUUUGGAAAUACUAGCCCGGCAUGAACACAAGGGCAGGUACUCUGCUACAUACAUGAACAGUAAUGGAAGUACUUCUAGUGCCCCAUCUGCUUGCAAUCUACCUCAGCAUACUGAUCCAGUAACUCCAACUAAUGAGCCAGUAAAGGCAAUCAUCACCAAUACUACUGUGCACACUGGUAAUAGAAGGAAAAUAGAUUUUAAUGCUCCUUUGUUGAAUCCUGAUACUGUGAUUAAUAAAUAUCCCAAAC